rnacentral:tRNA from 1 species
UCCCUGGUGGCUCAGACGGUAAAGCAUCUGCCUAGAAUGCGGAAGACUCAGUUUCAAUCCCUGGAUUGGGAA